AACCCGGUGUUUUUAAACACCACCUCUUGUUGUAUCUCAGGUAUCU
rfam:Gonium pectorale scaffold00016, whole genome shotgun sequence.